rnacentral:lncRNA from 1 species
GUCGAUCUUGCACGCAGCCCUGCCAUCAUAUGAAAAGGGUUUUAUUGAUCCUUUUUUGUGAGAGUCCUGGGAAGCCAUCAUUAAAGGAACAGACCCGAGGCGGCCCGCACAGCUCUGGGGAGCGUGCGCGCCUGUGUGCGCUCCUGGCUCGCCUGCCUCCGCGUCCACCCCAGCUUUUACAAGGGCCAGCUGGGUUGCAAGGUUCAAGCCGGAGGGGACCAACUGGUGGUGUGGGGCUUUUUUACAAAGUGCAAAGGAUCAAAGUAAUUAGCAAAGGGCGAGAGACCAGGCCUGUUGGAGAAAGAAGCCAGCCACCCCGGGCCUUCCACACACAGGGCUGGUCUUCCAGGCUGGCUCAUGCCUCCACGUGGGCAGAAAAAAGAAAAGAGAGAGCGUGCCAGGGAAGAUCCCUCACUCAAAGCUUCAGGAAGGCACCACACGCAGAACCUUGGUAUCGGAACCAGCUGCAUAAAACAGGAAGAAAGAAGCAUUUAGAGCAACAAACAGAUGAAACUUUGUAGCCUGGAGUAACAAGCAGACAUUGGAACCAAGCAGAAUGGGCUCUGAUUCCCGGCUCCCGCUUCCAACUGUGCAACUUGGGUCAAAUACUUUGACCUCUCUGAGCCUCAGUUUCUUCCUCUACGAAAAGGAAUCAAUAAGAAAGCCGUCACUGGGAGGAAGUGAGGAUUAAACAAGGCACGAUCUGUAAAGAGCAGAGCUCAGGUCCUAACGUGCAGUAAAUAAUACAAUUCGUUAUUAUUACUCUUAGCUGCCCUGCCAGUGGCCGGCCAUGUGCUUAUGGCUGUGCUCUUUGCCUCCGGCGUUGGAGGACGGCCCUGGGGUGUUCUGGGCAAGGCUGGGGCAGACAGUCUCCAGGCGCGCCAGGCCUGGGCUGGUCUCUGUCACCCUGACACGCAGAGCAAAGCAGAGGAAGGAAUCCCGCAGAGCCACGUGAGGCUGGGUGGCCAAGCCGGGCCCGCAGACCCUCUCACCCCUCCCCAGAGAGGCUCUGGCCCUUUUCAAGGGCGGGGACGGAAGAGAGAGCAUGCCCCGGCUGGGAACAGAGCGAAGCAAGGCUUCUCAGGAGGUGGCGUGUAGGGCACUUGUGCCUGGGGUCAGCCGGGGAGAGGAAAAGGGGGCAGAGAAAGAAAGGACCUCUUUCCACCUCUGUUGCUUGGGUCGUGCUUAACAAAAGGGUGGCUCGGGGAUCAGACAGGCUUGGGUUGGAGUCCUAGCCCUGCCAGUUCCCAGCUGUGUGGCUCUGGACAAGUUACUUCCCCUCCCUGAUAAUAACCAUAGCUAAUGUUUAUUCAACCCUGACUUUGGGGCAGGGUCUAUUCUAAACACUUCACAAGUAUACAUUAAAUAAUUUAAUCUUCACCACAACCCGGCGAGGUAGUUAUGAUUAUUAUCGCCAUUUUACAGAUGAAAAGACUGAGGCACAGAGAGGUUCAGCAACUUGCCCAGAGUCACACAGCUAAUACAUGGCAGAGCCAGGAUUCAAUCUAAGGCAGUCUGGAUCUAGAGUCUAUACUUUACUAGAACAUGGUGAUUUAUUAUUUUCAAGACUCUUGUAUUUGUUACUGACUGCUUAAAUCUUUUAAGGCUGUGUUUUCUGAACCCAGUUUUCCAGAUUCCAGAUAUCAUCUGACUCUGCGGUCACACAGGUGUGCUUACUACGUAAUAGAGCUAGGCUACAGACCCAGGGACCCUGACUUACAGCCAGCGUGCUUUUCUCCCUCCCUCCCUCUUUUCCUCUAUUCAUUCAACCAGCACACACUUAUUCAUCACCACUGCAUACCAGACACCACACAUAUGUUGUCUUCCUGCUGUCACACUUUCUUUGCCCUGUCCUAUACGCUGGUCAUUGGCAUGCUUUCGGUGCCCCGCCUGCGCUCCCACCUCUGUGCUCAGGUGGCCAAGCUCUUCCUAGACCAGAACUCCAAGCAAACAAAACUGCUGGCAGAGUUCCAUCAUUUGUGACCCUGUCAGCAAGCCCUGUCCCCACCCAGAGGUGUUCUCGGCCGGAAGUAGUGACAGGAGCGGCUGCUGCUUGAAGAAAGCCUUGCUGAGACGCGCUCUUCCCGGAUACUGCCAGAUUUCCGGGGGUCUUCAGCUAAGAGGGCAGACCGCCCCCCCCCCCACGGCAAGGCUCCUGGGCUUUGAUGCUGCCUCCGAAGAAAUCCAACAGUCGUGGAGCUAAGGAGGAGGCUGCAGGAGGGUGACUGAGCCCCAGACAGGCAUUCCCAGAGCGGGUUUUGCCAAUAAACCUCUGAGAGGGAGGAGCCCA